rnacentral:sRNA from 1 species
UUAGGUAAGAGUUGUUAAUGUUAAAUUCAGUGAAAGUUCAAUCUCAGAUCGUUAUCGAUUUCUCGUUAAACCUGCGUCAACUUUGUCUUGAUAUACCAUUCAAUAGCUUUCGUUAUCAGCCAAAUAAACUCAUAGCAAAUAUAUAUCAGAGGUUACUAUGUCUCAGAAAAUGACUGGUUCAGUAAAAUGGUUCAACGAAACUAAAGGUUUUGGUUUCAUCUCUCAAGACAACGGCGGUCAAGACGUGUUCGUACACUUCAAGUCUAUCGUUUCUGAAGGCUUCAAAACUCUGGCUGAAGGCCAGCGUGUAAGCUUCACCGUUGAGCAAGGCAAAAAAGGCCCACAAGCUGCUCAAGUUACUGCGCUGUAAUUAGCUCAGAUUGAUUCUAAAAGGGGCGUGGUGAAAACCACGCCCUUUUUA